rnacentral:rRNA from 1 species
CUGCUGCCUCCCGUAGGAGUCUGGUCCGUGUCUCAGUACCAGUGUGGGGGACCUUCCUCUCAGAACCCCUAUCCAUCGUGGACUUGGUGAGCCGUUACCUCACCAACUAUCUAAUGGAACGCAUGCCCAUCUAUCAGCGAUAAUUCUUUAACAAAUAUUUCCAUGUGGAACCCCUGUUUUANGCGGUAUUAGUCCGACUUUCGCCGGGUUAUUCCCCUCUGAUAGGUAGGUUGCAUACGCGUUACUCACCCGUCGCGCCGGUCG